rnacentral:rRNA from 1 species
AACGAACGCUGGCGGCAGGCUUAACACAUGCAAGUCGAACGCAUCCUUCGGGGUGAGUGGCAGACGGGUGAGUAACGCGUGGGAACGUGCCCUUCAGUUCGGGAUAACCCAGGGAAACUUGGGCUAAUACCGGAUACGUGCGAGAGCAGAAAGAUUUAUCGCUGAAGGAUCGGCCCGCGUCUGAUUAGCUAGUUGGUGGGGUAAUGGCCCACCAAGGCGACGAUCAGUAGCUGGUCUGAGAGGAUGAUAAGCCACAUUGGGACCAAGACACGGCCACAACUCCUACGGGAGGCAGCAGUGGGGAAGAUUGGACAAUGGGCGCAAACCUAAUCAAGCAAUGCCGCGUGAGUGAUGAAGGCCUUAGGGUUGUAAAGCUCUUUCGUCCGGGACGAUAAUGACGGUACCGGAAGAAGAGGCCCCGGCUAACUUCGUGCCAGCCGCCGCCGUAA